GAUUAGUUUCAGACUCAAUGGAAUUUAUUACGACUUUUUGAAUAUCUCUUCUAUAAAGGGACUAUUUUUGGAUCGAAUUUAAUGAGGACCAUAUUUAAGUUUGUUUUAAAACAGGGGGAUUAACUGGAGAUCAAUCAGACUUCAUUUAGAUGGACGUGUCUUAAGAAGUAAUACAGUAGAUAAAAAAAAGGGGGGGGGGUGCGGGGAGUAAAAGGUUUUGAAAGAGAAACGUUUUUUUCU
rnacentral:lncRNA from 1 species